AGAUCCAGAGCUGCUGAGAACAGCUGCAGAUGACUGACUCAGUGUGUUUGCAUAUGUGUGCUGCCUCUCUGCUUCCAGCAGUUAAGAGCUCAGUGUUGAUCAGUGGCUGUCCAGACCUUUCAGAGACACUGACACACCUGCAGCACAAUGAGGAUGUCACUGACUCUGCUGCUGGCUGUCCUGGAGCUCCUUGUUCAGGGUUCUUCAGGUGAAAUCUCUGUGACUCAGACUCCUGGAUCUCAGUCUGUUGUUCCAGGACAAACUGUCUCCAUUAGAUGUAGAACCAGUUCAAGUGUUAGUAACUAUCUCCACUGGUACCUUCAGAAAUCUGGAGAAGCUCCUAAACUCCUGAUUUAUAAAGCAACAAAUCGUCAUUCUGGAGUUUCUGAUCGUUUUAGUGGAAGUGGAUCUGGCAGUGAUUUUACUCUGACCAUCAGUGGAGUUCAGGCUGAAGAUUCAGGAGUUUAUUACUGUCAGCAGAGUUACAGCGAUCCACUCACACAGUGAAACAACGUCGUACAAAAACCUCUUUCAGCUAAAGAGGAACUGAUCUGAAUGAACAUCUGCACUGAAGCUGAAAAACUAAAGUUUUGGUUCCAACAUUUUAGCUUAUUCCCUUUUUUUUAAUGUAAAAUGUCUUGUCUAACAGUUAAAACAGUCUGUCAGCUUUUCAAAAUUAUUAAUUUCUUCUUCUAAAUAAAAUAAACAAUUGUCAAUAUUAACACACUUUUUAAAUAGAGAAACUUUAGACCUUCUACCAUCAUCAAAUCUACCAGGAAGGGAAAAUGUCAUAAAAGUUGGUGUGUGAACAACUGAAGGAGUUUCUAGAAUCAAACAGUAUUUUGUCUGAUUUUUGUCUGGUUUUAGAAAACAGUAUAGAACUGUUAC